UACGUAGGGUGCAAGCGUUGUCCGGAAUUAUUGGGCGUAAAGAGCUUGUAGGCGGUUUGUCGCGUCUGCUGUGAGAUUUCGGGGCUCAACCCCGAACUUGCAGUGGGUACGGGCAGACUAGAGUGUGGUAGGGGAGACUGGAAUUCCUGGUGUAGCGGUGAAAUGCGCAGAUAUCAGGAAGAACACCAAUGGCGAAGGCAGCACUCUGGGACGUGACUGACGCUGAGACGCGAAAGCGUGGGGAGCAAACAGG
rnacentral:rRNA from 1 species